rnacentral:antisense_RNA from 1 species
AGUUAACGGAAAAAAGUCAACGUUUUUUGGCUCCUUUGAAGCGGUUGCAGUACUUAAUACUGCUGAAUCACCAUAGCGAACUAAAACAGCACCAUUCGCUUGUUUAGCUAACUGUCCAAUUUCAACUGUUAAAUUUCGGCCAGCCCAAUUUAUUGAAUAAACAUGCUUAUCUUGUCCCAUUCAUUUAUUACUCCUCUCUACCUAAAAUACAUUAGAGGUACUGCGAAACAUUAUCCAUUCGCACAUACUUAUUCUAUAUAUAUAAAGCAGUUUUCAUUUAGUAAAACAUAGCUAUU